AUUGAACGCUGGCGGCAUGCCUUACACAUGCAAGUCGAACGGCAGCACGGGAGCAAUCCUGGUGGCGAGUGGCGAACGGGUGAGUAAUAUAUCGGAACGUGCCCAGUCGUGGGGAUAACGUAGCGAAAGCUACGCUAAUACCGCAUACGAUCUAUGGAUGAAAGCGGGGGAUCGCAAGACCUCGCGCGAUUGGAGCGGCCGAUAUCAGAUUAGGUAGUUGGUGAGGUAAAGGCUCACCAAGCCGACGAUCUGUAGCUGGUCUGAGAGGACGACCAGCCACACUGGGACUGAGACACGGCCCAGACUCCUACGGAGGCAGCAGUGGGGAAUUUUGGACAAUGGG
rnacentral:rRNA from 1 species